ACGAGAGCUCGGCUGCGUUCCGGGACUGGCGUAAUUGGCAGGCUCCAGGCAAGAGCGCUCAUGCUGACUGGCGCCUUUGCCGGGACUUGAAAGCAGGGGAGGGGAUGUGCCUUUCUCCUUGAGAGGAGAACAAAUGUUCCCUUUGAAGAAGUUUGCGGCCCAGGCUGGAGUGCAGUGGCGCAAUCACAGCUCACCGCAGCCUUGACCUCCCAGGUUCAAGCAAUCCUCCCACCUCAGCCUCCCGAGCAGAUGAGCUACAGGCCCACACCACCAUGCCUGGCAAAUUCAGCCAUUGUUAAGUGUGCUUUUCAGUGGCAUUAAGGACAUUCACAAUGUUGUGCAACCGUCACCACCAUCUACUUCCAGAAUCUUUUCAAUUUGUCAAAACACACCUUGUACCUGUAAGCUGUCACUCCCAAUUCCCCCUUCCCCCAGCCCCUGGCAACCAUCAAUCUCCUUGUUGUCUCUGUGGCUUUGCGAUUUCUGACAUUUCAUGAAAGUGGAAUCAUAAGUGCCCUUCGUGUCCCGCCUCUUCCACAGAGCGUUGAGUUUUCAAGGUUCAUCCCUGUUGUAGCAGGAAUCCGUGCUUCACUUAGGCUGCAAGGGCGUACCAUGGCAUGGAGGCACCUAUGGGUGGACGGCGUUUCGUUGAUCUGUCCUGGGCUGAGGGCAUCGGGCUGGACGCCCCAGCCUGGCUCCUGUAUCCUGUUGAAGAGGCGUUGAAUCUUGCUGCUCUCAAGAUGCACACGUACAGCUUUGGCCGAUCCCGUUUUCAGUUGCAACUGUCUCCCGAAGUCACGGAUUCCCCCUUGGUCUUUGGUGUGUGGGGAGGGCUACAAAUCCUCCCCAAGAAUGCCCACCCUGCCCCUGACUGGGGCAGAUUCUGGUUAUCCAUAGGAGGCCCCUCCUGCCAGGACAGAGCGCAUCCUCUCCGCCUCCUGACCUCCCUCCCCCGUCCUGGGCCGGAGCAGCCAAGCCCUGAGCUGGUGAAGCAACUCGAGCUCUUUGCAGGAGUGGCCGGGUGUGAGCAUAUGCGUGGCCUCCCAAGUCUCCAGCUAGCCCCCCUGCCACACUACUAAAUAUUUUAGCAAAUAAAAAUUUUUUAAACGUG